CAAUAAUGGCGGGUCCAUCGAGCUCAUGGUCGCGAGCGUUGGUGCAGAUCUCUCCGUACACCUUCGCCGCCGUCGGAAUUGCCAUUGCCAUCGGCGUUUCAGUGCUUGGCGCUGCUUGGGGAAUAUAUAUAACUGGAAGUAGUUUGAUUGGUGCUGCCAUUAAAGCUCCUCGGAUUACCUCCAAAAAUCUGAUUAGUGUAAUUUUUUGUGAAGCGGUUGCUAUAUAUGGUGUUAUUGUG
rnacentral:misc_RNA from 1 species